CAUUAGAUACCCGGGUAGUCCUAGCCGUAAACGAUACUCGCUAGGUGUCGGCCACGGUGCGACCGUUGUCGGUGCCGUAGGGAAGCCGUGAAGCGAGCCACCUGGGAAGUACGGCCGCAAGGCUGAAACUUAAAGGAAUUGGCGGGGGAGCACCGCAACGGGAGGAGCGUGCGGUUUAAUUGGAUUCAACACCGUAAAACUCACCAGGGAAGACUGUUACAUGAAGGCCGAGAUGAAGACUCUGCUAGAUUUUCAG
rnacentral:rRNA from 1 species